rnacentral:rRNA from 1 species
UACGAAGGGGGCUAGCGUUGUUCGGAAUUAUUGGGCGUAAAGGGUGCGUAGGCGGUUCGGUAAGUCUUAUGUGAAAUCUUCGGGCUUAACUCGAAGUCUGCAUGAGAAACUGCCGGGCUUGAGUGUGGGAGAGGUGAGUGGAAUUUCCGGUGUAGCGGUGAAAUGCGUAGAUAUCGGAAGGAACACCUGUGGCGAAAGCGGCUCACUGGACCACAACUGACGCUGAUGCACGAAAGCUAGGGGAGCAAACAGG